rnacentral:rRNA from 1 species
UACGAACUGUGCGAACGUUAUUCGGAAUCACUGGGCUUACAGGGUGCGUAGGCGGCUAUUCAGGUCAGGUGUGAAAGCCCCUGGCUCAACCGGGGAACUGCGCUUGAAACCGAAUGGCUCGAGUCAGCUAGAGGUACACGGAACUUCCAGUGGAGCGGUGAAAUGUGUUGAUAUUGGAAGGAACACCGGAGGCGAAAGCGGUGUACUGG